CCAGGAUUUAGUCUUUCCUGGGCAUUUGUGAUAACUUCGUUCUCUGAUGUCUAGGAUAUUCGGUAUUACCUAUUUUCCCUAACUCCUACUUGUCCUGUACUUUUUCAAAUAUCAGCUCCCGAAAUUGUCACCCUCUUCCUUAAGGUGGCUUGCUCUGAGCUCUGUAUCUGCAUUUUCCGACAUCCCAGAAAGUACGGUAGUUCCUGUUCUAAUCAUGGCAAUGACAUACUCAGUAAAGGUGAGCACCCUGGUACUCACCCUGUGUCCGGAAGACAGUGCCAAGGUGAAUCAUUCUAAGCAAUCACUAGAAGUCGCAGGGAUUGCCCCAACCACGAUGCUGGAGAAAUGCCCAGAAGACUUACCUCAACUCACCCGGCUAAAGAAUCAACUUGCCUCCUCCACCUCUCCUCCCAGAUUCCAUCGAAAGCCAAGACUUUUCUUGGCUGGCAUCUCCAAGAUAUUAGUCAGUGUCAUUUAAUCUUAAGGAGAAUGUCCAGGGCGCCUCACUGAUCGUAAGGAAAUCAGGAGCAGAAGUGGAUCUGCUGGCCCUUCUGUGCCUAGUCAGGCCACGGGACAGGUCUCCCUGGAAUGGUAGCAUGACCAAAAGGCCAGUCAGGCUCUGGGCUCAGACCACGUGGGUUCGAAUCCAAGUGCUGCCACUGCCUAGCAAGGUGAUCCGGAAAGCUACCGAAACACCCUGGACUUUCAUUACUCCAUAUGUAAAGGGCUUGAAAGAGUGUCUGGCAGGCACAUGGCAGGUGAUUAAUAAAUGCUGGCUGUUUUUAUCAUUACCACCUUCAUCAUCUGUGGGUUAGAUUAUGACCUGAGUUAAAAGAAUAAUUAAGCCAUGCAUUUAGUUCUGCCAAAUAUUAAUUAUUAACAUAACAAACUCACAUUCGUGGAGCAUGCCUGUGUGCCUAUGUGCCCAGCACUGUGAUAAGGGCACAGCGGGCAUCAGUGUCAUUUAAUGUUUUCAGCAAUGCUAUGAGGUGGGACCACAUCGUGGAAAUGGAGCUGGUGAGAGUCAUGAACUACUCAAGGUCACCUAGCUAAUAAGAAGAGAGGCCAUUGAUUCACCCCAGUUCUCAGACCCCACCCAUGUUUAACCCACUGUCAGAUACUGCGUACCUGUGCAACAGCUUGUGUAGAAAGCCAAGCUCAAUACUUCAGGUGUGAAAUGAAAUCAGCAGGGAUCAAAUCAUGUGUGGAGCUUUUGUAUGCCUGUACUUGUUUGUGCUUAUUUGCUUCCUUAAAUUGGAUUUAUCAGUUAGAAAAAAAAAAUUUAGUCACUUCUCUCUCAAACACUGGUCCAGACCUAUAAGACCAAGAUGGCCAGAGGGCCCUGUACAAAGCAUCCCGUGCCAGUGAAAUUACCCCCAAAGGGAAAGUGGACCGCCUACUUUGAGUCCCUGCCCCCUUAUCCUUCCUCUCUGGCUCCCAACUUGGCUUCCUAUGCAAGAGUUAUUUGUUCCGGCUGUUAGAUCUGUUCUCAAACAACAAAUUCCACCUCAAUCCUUCACUUUUCACCUGAGUCAUUCAGAACAUCAUUGGCGAUGUUCAGUCACAGGGAGACUGAGAGUUUGUAUGAGGGGGAAAAUGUUUUUUUAAAAAGUGAAAUUAACACGGGGAAAAGCCAUCGCAUGAAGAUGAGUGUACAAUCGUCCCUCGGAAUCUGUGGGAGAUCGGCACCAGGACCUCCAAGGAUGUGCAGGUUGCUGAUGUAAACUGGGGUCGUGUUUGCAUAUAACCCACACACAUCCUGCCAAUGCUUUAAAUCAUCUCCAGAUGAAUUACAAUACCGAAGACAAUGUAAACGCUAUGUAAAUAGUUGUUGUACUGUAUUCUUUUUAAUUUCUAUUAUUUUUAUUGUUGUAUUGUUAUUUUUUUAUUGUUUUCUUUUAUAUAUUUCCUACCCAUGGUUGGUUGAAUGAGUGGAGGCAGAGCCUGCAGAUACAGAGGCCGACUGCUAUAACAGGACUUCAUGUGCAAGCGCUUUGCCUUAAUGAGUACUGCAGCAAAUGCACAGUGAGGGACUCUUACCCAAGAAACCUAGAAUGAAAUCUGUGCUGCCUGCUACAACCUGUGGCUUUGGAUUUUCUCGAGGCCCCAGAGCGUCAGAGGAAGUUUUCCGAAUGGCACUCUGCGUGGGAAGGAGCUUGUGCACGUGCACGCUGCCACCAUCUGCCCUCAGCGCUGAUUCAGGAGGCGCUUCUCAACUAUAGCCCACAGUGUGACAACUGAACGUGUCCCCUCACGUUUCCAAAUACGGGGGGUGCAGGAGGCACUGCUCACUGUUGCACCCCCUGACCCACGCUGCCAGUCCUGCCCUCACUGCUGGGUGCUCACUGGGACCCUGGAAAGGUCUAGCUGAGCCUUUUAGGGCAUGAGGAUGUUGGGAGAAUAGAGGUGGCUCCUCUGAGAAGCCUGAGAAGUGUGAGUGUAUAAAUGCAGGCUGAGGUCGUGUCUCCCUGGGAUUGAAUUCACCCAACCUCACCCUCCGUGUAGCGCAAAUGCCCAGCUCCUCCAGGGAAGUGUUCAUGGCCAGAGUCCCAUGUUCCCUGCCAUCAGCAAGGCCCUGGCGCCAUUACUUACAGGAUAUGGCACCUCCCCCAACACCAGUGACCAUCAUCUCUCUCCUCCUCCUCCUUCUUUCCCCUCCUUCCUUCCCCUCCUCCUCCUCCUCCUCUUCUUCUUCACUAGAUACACUUGUUAUAUCUCCCAAUGGGACAAAAAUAGUCUCAUCAUUAUCAUGUGCCUCCUUCUCCUCCCUGUCUUCCUCAGAGGUUGAUACGUGAUUGACACGGUUUGGCUCUCCCUGAAAUGGUUUGGCUGUAUCCCCACCCAAAUCUUACCUUGAAUUAUAAUAAUCCCCAUGUAUCAAGGGUGGUACCAGGUGAAGGCAACUGAAUCAUGGGGGGCAAUUACCCCCAUGCUGCUGUUCUCGUGAUAAUGAGUGAGUUCUCAUGAGAUCUGAUGAUUUUAUAAGCGACAUUUCCCCCUUUGCUCAGCACUUCUCCUUCCUGCCACCAUGUGAAGAAGGACAUGUUUGCUUCCCCUUCCAUCAUGAUUGUAAGUUUCCUGAGGCCUCCCCAGCCCUGUAGACCUGUGAGUCAAUUGAACCUCUUUCCUUUAUAAAUUGCUCAGUCUUGGGCAGUUCUUUGUAGCAGCUUGAGAAUGGACUAAUACAGUGAUAAAAUAUAAAUUGGAAUUUUCAGUGUGCUCACACCAUAAGGAAGAGAACAGUGUCAUUUCUGGGUCAGAAAAUGUGACCACCAUAGAAUUUUCUCAUAUCUAGAACUGUCCGGUAUUUAUAGCUCAGGAUGCUGGUACAACUUUCUGAGAUAGAGAAUUAUAUCCUCACAUAGAAGCUGCUGUGUGGCCCUCCUUACCCUUGGUCACUCAUGGUUGGGUGAACGGACCCAAAGACAGAGACCAAAAAAUCAAAUUCUUGGAUUUUCAGUUCUGAAUAGACACUUGAAACUCAAAGGCCAUGGCCUUGUAAGCCCAGACUCUAAUUUGUAAAAGUUGAGGGUUUUCAGAGAAGAAAAGAACCAGGGCUCCCUGCCAGGUGUCGCACCCUGGGCCUCACGGAGGCCUCCUCUUUCAUCACAUGGCACAGUGACAUUUCUGCUGAAAACAGAAAAGGCUUCCUUCCUAGGACCUACCGUCUCUACUCUUCCACCUUUCUUUUCUCCAUUUCUUUCACCUGAAGGCUUCACCACCAAAGGUUGGAACAUUUUCCUGCUAUUUCAUUACACUUGAGAUUCCAGGCAAAGAAAUUCCGAGUUCAAACAGCAAGGUAAUGCCAUGAAUAAUAAAACGUGUCAAGCUUUUCUGGCAUAGGAACAAGAACGUGAUAUAGACACACACUACCUAAUAGAAGAGAAGGCCCAAUUUCAACCACAUAAAGGGUUCAAGAAGUUCUGUGUUGGUUCCUCCUUCACAUAAAAUAAACACUGGAGAUUCCAGGGACAGAAGAGCAGGGAGCUGCAGAUGCGCUGAGGAUUUCAUUGCCAUCUAGUGUAAAACCCCGCUAUGAACAUUACCAUCACUGAUUUUUACGUUAUUAAGAGAUGGGCCCUUUUAUUGCACUGGUGUCAUGAAAACAACAAAAUCCCACAUGAAGUUAGGCACAACUCAGGACUGCCCUUUUGCAGAACAUGGCUUUUUAGUUAUAGGAUUCUCCAAGGUGGUCUCACAAGUUUCUAAUGAAUUGGGUUGGGAAGCUACUGCUUUAGAAGGCAGAAGCAGUUUCAAGAGUGUGCUCUGGGUAUAAAAGUCAUGGGUGCAGAAGGAUAUCAGCCCCUUCCUAGGUAAUUCCAUCUCUGCUCACUAGUCCUGAGUCUGAGAAAUUGUCAUCAUAAAUUAGGCAGACAGGACUGCCAGAAGCCAAUCCAGAACAUGAAUUUAUAACCCAGGGCUAUUGUAUAGCUUCCUGUGACCUCUUACACGGAGCCUCCCUCUGUCUUCAGGAUCAGGCCAACCUUAGAAUCUCUGACUACUAGAGGCUUGACUUGCAGUGAAACCCGUCCUAAUUGAUGAAGAUCCUGUAUCGAGUUAGAGAAAUGGAAGAAACGACGCGGGGGUCUGGUUUGCCAGCCAACAGCUGUGGCUUAAAUCUGAGUCCUUUGGAAAGAAAGGAAGGCAUUCCUUUUAUUUCUAAUAUGGCUAAGGUGCAACAGAACCCCUGAAAUUUACCUGGCUGUGUAGCUGCCCAAAAUAAAGACUUUCCUUUCCCACCACCCCUGCAGCUCCAUGUGGUGUGUGGGCAAAUCCUGGCUGAUGGGAUGUGGGUAGAAGAGACGUGUGCUCAGGAAGAUGGCCCACGCAGGGAAGGAGCAGGUCUUGCGCUCCUCUCCAUCCCACUUGCCAGAAAAUUGCUGCAGUGGACACUGUGGCACUAUAGGUUCUGUGGACGCCACGGGCAUGGUGGUGAGCACCUUCAGCUGCAUGGAAGAGGUGUCAUUUCAGGGCGGUUCUGCACACAAUCUGCCCUGCACACAGGAGCUACUGUAUGAACCUCGCUCCCAGUGUGUGAGGAGAGAAGGACAGAAAUUGGGUCAGCUUUGAUAAACUUUCAUAGUACCUUGAUAUUGCCUUGACCUUCAAGCACAUGAUCUGUGGACCCACCUCAAUAUAUUGACCAGGCCUGGGCAUGAGUCAGGCACUUUUUAAGCCCAAUAAAGCUACAUAGGGGUCUGAGAUCGAUUGGAAAUUUAAAUGAUACUAGAAAUAAUGACAGUCGUACUCCAGAUUGUGUGAGAAACACAUCUGUAAGGGACGGCAGAGUCACGGAGAAAAGGAGGCAGGGCCUGGGUACCAUGGAACCAGCCGAACAGCCCCACCACGAAUCCUCCUACCUUUAGAGAAGAGAGAAACUCUUCCCUGGUUUAAGCUGUCAUAUUUGGGGGCCCAUUUGUUUCUCAGCCUAAGCUGUACCCCGUCGGGUGUGCCUAUAUGUGAAUAGCGUGUGGGCUCAGCUGAUGGACCAGACAUUCCAUGUACUGGCGCAUAACAUUCUGACUCGCGUGCAGUAAGAACAAAAGGAAAUACAGCCCAAUUUGGUAAAAUUCUCUCACAGCCUGGAAAAGAGCAUCCCGAACAGUGGAGAGGAAGAGGGAGUGAGGCCCUGUGGACACAGCAGAGGAAUCCACAAUGGAUUUGCAGCAGGCUGGUGGAGGCAGAGCAGAGAAGGGCGGGAGAGGGCCAGCGAAGGCCUGGGAAGGUGGACCCACAAACUCGUCUCCUAAUGAAGCUAACCAGCAAUGCGAGGGCACACAGGGAGACCCCCUAGAGGCUGCCCCAGGCCAGGAGUCACCUGUGAACUGAGGUGGCCAAGGCAGGUUCUGUGGCAGAGGGUGAAUGCCUGCAGAUGAGAACCAGCCGCGGUGCCCAGAAAGGAACAGUGUGCGGGCCUGACGGGAGCCCCCAUCAAUACAACCAGCUCCUGCUCAGAACUCUCUUCAGGCAGACAAAUAGAAGAUAUGUUUCUACUUCCCCAGGCCUCAGCACCAUGACUAUUCUAGUCCCAGUGGAUACCCUGCUUCAGGUUUUAUGCAGCUGAGUUGAAAAAGAAUAACAGAAUAGGAGGAAAACAAGGGGAAGAAGGUAGGUGGGACGCCCCAAAUCAUCUUGAGUGCACUCCAUAAAAGAAAGAGGCAUUAAAGCAGCCCCCUCUCCUAUCUCAAGCCAUCCUUCAACUUAUAGGGACUUUGCACAUAGUUGCUGCAGGUUGGCCUGCCUCUGUCAGAGGUGUUUAAACCAGAUUGACUCUCUCUUGUAUAGGGGCUGGGUAAAAUGAGGCUGAGACCUACUGGGCUGCAUUCUCAGGAGAUUAGGCAUUCUAAGUCACAGGAUGAGAUAGGAGGUCGGCACAAGAUACAGAUCACAAAGACCUUGCUGAUAAAACAGGUUGCAGUAAAGAAGCCGGCCAAAACCCACCAAAACCAAGAUGGUGACGAGAGUGACUCUGGUCGUCCUCACUGCUACACUCCCAUCAGCGCCAUGACAGUUUACAGAUGCCAUAGCAACGUCUGGAAGUUACCUGUACGGUCUAUAAAGGGGAGGCAUGAAUAAUCCACCCCUUGUUUAGCAUAUCAUCAAGAAAUAACCAUAAAAAUGGGCAACCAGGAGCCCUUGGGGCUCCUCUGCCUAUGGAGUGGCCAUUCUUUUAUUCCUUUACUUUCUCAAUAAACUUGCUUUCACUUUAUUCUAUGGACUCGCCCCGAAUUCUUUCUUGUGAGAGAUCCAAGAACCCUCUAUUGGGGUGUGGAUCAGGACCCCUUUCCAGUAACACCCCUAUUGUGAGAAGAUGCCUUAAAUGGCUGGAGUUCUGGUGCUGAGCUGUGUUUUCACUCUGGGUAGUUUGUUGUUAGCUUUUUUAACAGCUUAAUUGAGAUAUAGGUAAGAUAUAGUUCACUAGUUAAGAUACAGUUCCGUUCUGGUGUUGCUGUAAAGGAAUACCUGAGGCUGGGAAACUUACAAGAAAAGAGGAUUGUUUGGCUCAUGGUUCUGCAGGCUGUACCAGAAGCAUGGCACCAGCAUCUGCUUCUGGUGAGGCCUCAGGAAGCUUCCAAUCAUGACAGAAGGCCAGGGGGAAGCAGGCAGAAGUGUUAG
rnacentral:lncRNA from 10 species